rnacentral:rRNA from 1 species
CCUACGGGCGGCAGCAGCGGGGAAUAUUGCACAAUGGGCGCAAGCCUGAUGCAGCCAUGCCGCGUGUGUGAAGAAGGCCUUCGGGUUGUAAAGCACUUUCAGCGGGGAGGAAGGCGGUGAGGUUAAUAACCUCAUCGAUUGACGUUACCCGCAGAAGAAGCACCGGCUAACUCCGUGCCAGCAGCCGCGGUAAUACGGAGGGUGCAAGCGUUAAUCGGAAUUACUGGGCGUAAAGCGCACGCAGGCGGUCUGUCAAGUCGGAUGUGAAAUCCCCGGGCUCAACCUGGGAACUGCAUUCGAAACUGGCAGGCUAGAGUCUUGUAGAGGGGGGUAGAAUUCCAGGUGUAGCGGUGAAAUGCGUAGAGAUCUGGAGGAAUACCGGUGGCGAAGGCGGCCCCCUGGACAAAGACUGACGCUCAGGUGCGAAAGCGUGGGGAGCAAACAGGAUUAGAUACCCCUGUAGUC